GAGGUUAUAGCUCAGUGGUAGAGUAGAUGCCUAGCAUGUAUGAGGUCUUGGGUUCAAUCCCCAGUUACUGCC
rnacentral:tRNA from 1 species